rnacentral:rRNA from 2 species
UAGGGAAUCUUCCGCAAUGGGCGCAAGCCUGACGGAGCAACGCCGCGUGAGCGAGGACGGCCUUCGGGUUGUAAAGCUCUGUUCUUCGGGAAGAAGGGCGGGAGGGCGAACAACUCUUCCGCUUGACGGUACCGAAGGAGAAAGCCCCGGCUAACUACGUGCCAGCAGCCGCGGUAAUACGUAGGGGGCGAGCGUUGUCCGGAAUUAUUGGGCGUAAAGCGCGCGUAGGCGGCCGGUUAAGUCCUGUGUGAAAGACCACGGCUCAACCGUGGGGGUGCACGGGAAACUGGCCGGCUUGGGUGCAGGAGAGGGGAGCGGAAUUCCCGGUGUAGCGGUGGAAUGCGUAGAGAUCGGGAGGAACACCAGUGGCGAAGGCGGCUCCCUGGCCUGUAACUGACGCUGAGGCGCGAAAGCGUGGGGAGCGAACAGG